rnacentral:lncRNA from 1 species
AUUCUUUUAUAAAGACUUGUUGCCUCUCUUUCAAGCUCUAUUGUGAUUUCUGCAUGUGCAAGUUGUAUAUUUUACUUUACCACCAGAUACCUCUGGCAAAGCAGAUGAAGACUCCAGCCUGAGAACUCCUCCAGAUGAGGAGAACCCGAUCAUAUCGGUAAACUAAUAAAAUGACUGAGUGUAGAAUGCAAAUGAGUUUGAUGUCUACCAGUUAAUCCUGAAGCUGUUCAAAUUACCAUGAGUUUUGCAACUGAGUUUGUGGAGUGAGUUGACCCUGAUGGUAAUUGGUUCAAGGAGACCUCUUGCAUCAUAGAACUGAAUUCUUGCUUCCUAAGAAUGUAGUUACAAAGGAGCAGUACCUGUCAUGCCGUGAGGAGUCUGUUUGAACUUGAUGGCUGUUCUUGGAUCAACUUUAAAACAGAUUUACAUCUUCUUAUAUGAACUUGCUUUUCCACUAAAAAAGUGUUCAUGCAUUGGUUUCCCAAAAGGUGCUCUCAGACAAUCUGAGAAUUUAAAGCCGGAGUAG